GAGCAGCGGCAGGAGAGAGAGCUAAGAUCCUCCUGGCAGUACAAGGCCGCAGUUGCCAUGGGGCCCAUCUUGCUGUAGUUACCGGACGUAUUUUUCACCCAGUGCUAAGCUUCGCCUGGUGGGGGAAAUUGAAUAAUGACAAGUUUUUCAAGACAGAAAACAGCUUUUCGGAGAUCAGUGGUAAAGUGCUCAAUUGUGCUAACAAUGUGAUGUAGAAUAAGAUAAGAGCUGAUGUGGAUUGAGGCAUAUUUCAAAAGCUUUGAGAAUUAAGAGUCAAGAACUUAAAAUUACAGCUUUACAAGACUUGUGUUAAAGUUAUGGCAAAUACAGUAUUCAAGAUGCCUGGAGGUGUUGGAUAUCAAUCCUGUAUUGAUAUUAUUGAGAUUUUGGAAUGGAAUUCAAAGAAGGUUCAUUGAUUCUUUUUGUACAAAUGCUGUAAUUCAAGAAUUGCAGUAAUUCAAGAAGUGCUGAAGUAUUAGUAUUAUACUGCAAAAUACAUUUAUUCUUAAAUUUUUGUUCAAGCUAUACAGACAGACAUGUCGGCAAACAAUUUGAAGUGCUUUCAUUGUCCAGACUGCAGUAAAGAAUUUAGCAAAGAGAAAACAUUAAUAAAACAUUUUAAAGUGCACAGUUCAGGAAAGUCUUAUCGAUGUAAAAUGUGUUAUAGUGUAUAUCCAAGUAAGAGACAAUACAAUGAACAUAAAAAGACACAUUUAGAAAAUGAAUACAGUACUUGUAGUGAAUGUGAAAAACAAGUUCUCAAAACAUCACUAUCUAGAAAAUGCUGUGAUGAAUGCAAUUUGAAACCUAAAAAGUAUUUGUGUGAAAAAUGUGGUAAAGCAUAUGAUUCUCUAAUGGGGGUGAGAUUUCACAUACAAAAGGGUAAGCACUCUACUUUAUUCUCACAGUGCUUUAGCUGUGGCUUGACAUUCCAGUCAAACAUGGCACUAUUUUUUCAUCUGACUCAGCAUCCGGAUUUUAAUAUUAGAAUAGUUGAGGCAUCUGAAGAAAAUGUUGAAUAUAGUGGCUCAAAAUCAGGAAAUCUGGAGAUUGGUAACAGAUCAUUGCAUCUGAAGCUGACUAAACCAUCAAAGAUGACAUACCCAAGCCAGGAAGAGGAAAAUGGGAAAACUAAUAAUAAAAGUUCAACACAAGCUAGCAUGAGCAGAGAUAUGACACUGCAGCCGCCUAUGAUACUGGCAGAUAAAACAGAAGAGAUAAUGAAAAUGCCGAGUACAGUGGCACAACAAGGUGUGGAGUCAAUAGAUAGAUUGUUAACACUAAACACAAAGGUGGGUCAAGAGAGGGCAGCUGGUGAACAUUAUAUAAAUUUGCAAGUUAUGUCAAGGAUGAAUAAUAUGCUACCAGCAGAGAAAAUGCAAGGAGUGCCCAUUGAAGGAAAUUCAGUGGGGCAGCAGGCUUUUGUACCAAAUAAUACAGCCUUUAGUUCAUGUCAUGUUACUCUACCACAAGAGAGAGUAGCUGGACAGGUGUCAGUACUGCAGGAUAACAGUGCAGCACACACUUCAAUCCCCUCAUGGAAUAUGAUUGGUCUGGAUAAUGCAAUAUCCCAGGAAAAGAAAGUUUUGGAGGAUGAAACAUUAAUGAUGAACAGUGACAAAUGCAGGAGUUCCAAGCCAAGUGGCAUACCACAAGAAAUAAAUUUGACACAAUAUGGGUUAACAAAUUGGAAAAGGGAGUGGCAGCAAAAUGGAUUUAUCCUGCAAGACAAUUCGGCUCCUCUGCAGGUCUGUGACAGACCACAAAAUAGCAAAGAUACACGUGGAAUAUUAAAUCAAGAAGAACGUUUAAUAUAUGAAAAAAUGUUUGGAAGCGAACUGAAUAUGGAGAGGAAUAGUUCACUUGAACGGACAUUCACACAAGUGCAAAACAUAAUCAAAGAUCAAGCAGGAGUGCAAGAUAAAAUGACACUGCAACAUGGCUGGACAAAUGAUUACUGUAAUGCAUUAUUUAAUGGUAUGUAUGCAGAAAAAGCACAAUUACACCAAAGAAUGAAAAUGGGCAAUACAGUAGCAGUAAAAGACAAAAUUACAGAAGAACACUUCUUGUUGGAUUUUGAAGUGAAAAAGAACAAUGAACUUGGAAUACACACUAUUAAGGAAGGAGAUAUUAGAGAAAAGAAUGAAGUGUUGCUUUUGAAUGAAAAGGGUAUUACAGAGGAGAAUAGUAUACAAAAUAGGCACUCAAAACGAGGUAGUAAACAGCUGCAAAAUGCCGCCGCAUUCCGAGAGUUUGAACCAGACUAUGAUCAGGCAAGUUGGACUAAAUCUACAGUACAAGCCGAGAAUGGCUCACAAAUGUACCACCACAAACUAACAAAAAAUGCCCCAUUAGAAGCCAAUAAGAUAUUUAGCCAGAACAUGAGACAUGAUUUACUUUUGGUAAGUGAUAUAAAAAAUGAGACCUUGUUAAUGUACAAAUUAUGGUUGGAACGUAAGAAGGGUGCAGCUAAGGAUAGUGAAAGACAGGAAGAAUGCAGCAAUAAUUUUUUGGAAAUGCUAAACUUAGGUAGUGAAGAAAAACAGAAGUUGAAGUUAAACUCAAAUCCUACUAAAAAUUAUUUAACCAAUUCUCAUAAUUUUGAUAUUCGAAGUUCUUUUCAUGUUGGAAUACAGUGUGCAAACAAUGAAAAUUCAAUUUUUAGCAUGGCUGAUAAAAAUGUGUGUGAUCAGUUUGGUGAAAAGUGGUCAACUAUUCCUCUACAAAAUUCUAUUGUUACAGGUGGAGUUAAUGUUGAAGAUUAUAUUAACCACCUUAUGUGGCACUAAAUGUUAGUUUUUGCAAAUUAAUGUAAUAUAAAUUCUUAAUACAGGAGCCUAGCAAAGUUAAGAACAACCUUUUUUACCCUACUUUAAAGCAUCUCACGAUACGAAAGGAAAUGAAGUAUAAAUCAAUAUACCAACAGCUAGUGUGCUUAAUAUAUAUAAACCGGUAUUUAAUUGUAUGAACUCAAUUCCACAUUGUCUCCACGCAUCUAAUUUGGCAUCUUUGCUAAAACUACUUCUUUAUGGAUAAGUAAUCAGUCAGGAUUAUUGAGUUCCCUACAGAUUCUACCACCUGAACUCUCCGUUAAUUUAUUGGGGCUAUCAAAACUAACAAAACCUUGAGUUACCUUGAAUGAAAAAGAAGCCUUGCCUCAGGCCAAGCUGUAAGUAGAAUUGUUUACAAGAGCAUAAGUCAAGAGUAAAAGAGAUGAGGAGAAGAUAAAGGCAAACAGGUUUCCAGUCUUAGCUCUGUAGCAGAGUUGUGGGGAUUAACAGGCAUUUUGCUUAGCAAAGAAACCCAAAUGAUAGUGUAUAAGCUAUGACCUGGUUUAUGGGGCCAUCUCUGGCUCAAUCAAGUUGCUCUUCUAUAAAUUUAUACUGCAGAACAAAGCCUAUGGUCUGAUUGCCUGAGCAUUGUGGUAGUCAUUAAAUAUAAAAAGAGGGUCUUGCAAGAGAUGUACAAAAGUUGGGUUAUAUUAAUUCAAAGUACAAUCCUCUGGCAUUCCAUUAAUUGUAAAUGUUUACAUACAAGUAUGCACAUGUUUAAAAUAAUAAUAAAUGUUAAUAUUUAGUUUACAAAUCUGGUAACACAAAGUAGGUAUUGUAUAACAUGACAGUAUGUACAAAUUUAGCUAAAUAUUGUGCCCUUGAUUUCCUCACUUUAUUUUUAAUUUCAGGGGCAUGUACAGUAUGUGUAAUUGCAAUGAAGUACAAAUUAGUUUUUAAUUUCAUAUAUAAACAUACGAAUCUUUUUGGUCUUUGACACAUUUUUUCUAAUGGUAUUUGUUGGAAAAUAUGCAAAGAAAGAAAAUGGCUGUCAGGCUUGAAGUAUAGGUAUAUUCAAAGUUUCAGGUACUUUAGCAAAAACUGGGAAAAAAAAUAAAAUUAUUCAGAAAGAUGUAAAGUUAAGCCCACAGCUUGGUACAGUAUUUAUCUCUAGACAUAAAAUUCUUUUAUUCAGUAGCAUAAAAUAGUGAGAGCGUUUGUAUUCCACUAUUACAGCAAGUUAUUAAUUUUAAUGAUUUGUUUGAUAAAUUCCUACAAUAUCAAUUAAGGAAGUUACAGAAAAUGGGUAGUGUUUAUGGCAGUUUCCUGGCAUAGUCAUUUUAUGCAUAAUUUUGAUCAUUCCUAUUAAUUUCCUAGGCCACAAACAGGAAAGGUAUGCAACUGCAAAUAAGGAUUUACACCUUGGAAAAAUACCCUUACAAGUUUACAAUCAUCAUUUUAAUGGAAUUAAAUUCACUAGUGUUGUAAUUGUUUGUAUUGAUAACAUAUUAAAGGUAAUUAUGCAAGUACUGUACAGCAAGCAUGUUAAACUGAGGGUCCCCCAAGGGCCAUAUGGGUCAUAUUUGUUGUUAUAAUGGCUACACAUGACAACUAAUUGAAGUCAUUUAAUGAAAAUUAUUGCAGAAUAUAGUAUGCUUUGUAUUACAUAGUAAUACGUAAAGUAUUAGUGUCCUUUGUGCGGCCAGCAGGUGUGCUUGCAGAGGGCUGCAUGCAGCCCGCAUGUUUGACAUGCCUGCUGUACAGUUCAGUACUUGUAUAAUUACCUGUAAUAAACUGCAAGGCUUCCAACAAAGCCUUGCAGCUUUUACCAUACAGUAAGAGCUCGGUAAUCCAAAUUUUGGUAAUCCGAAUAAACUUGAGUUUUAGUUUUCGAGUGCUUAACUUGUAAAAAUUUGGAUUACUAAGAUUUCUGGUGAACAAAAACCCAAAUAAAUUCAAAUUUUGUCAUUUUGGUCUUUCCCGGUAAAAAUUUGGCCAACUCGUUCAUCUACAAAAAUUGGAUUAUGAUUUUAUCAUGGUAUUAAUGUUAUCAUUCAUACCCUAACAUUUCCAAAGAUCUAUGGGUUAAUUAAUUAAUUUUAAUUUGAACCUAUUAUUGGCACCUGUUAAUUAAUUUCUUAGUCCUAUGUUUAAUCAACCUAGACAGCAAGAAUAGGCACCAUGGAGGAAAAGAAGACAGGUAAAGAAUCCAAAAAUUUUUUUUUAAUUUAUUUACAGAAAACUAUGAACUAGAGGGGAAUGACAUUGAGGCUGUAAUAAAGGAAAUUAUAUAAGGAAAGACUAACAAUCAAUGGGAAUGAAACUAUCCUAUGAAAAUAUUUAGGUUCUUUUCAACAUCAACAGAGCAUAUUUAUAGUCAAGAAAACUAAUUUUUGCUAUUUCUACUCAGUUUAAACACUAGUUAAACACUUAAACAUUAUUUAGUAAGUAGCUAUGAAAGUCUAGUCUUUAAUCACUAUGCUGACUCGAGCAUGGUCCAGGCCUUUUAUACAGAUGUCUCGGCUAUGGGGAUUCCAUUCGUGGGCUUUAUGGAAGGGUCUAUUGCUUUCUCUCUAUUGAAAACGUCCAUUUGUGGGUGCAUGAAAAACCCUAACUAUACCUGAUUGUAACACUAUCAUAUGAUGAACCACUACUAGGAGAAUCUGUCUGCAAAGAGAUUAUCACAUCUAGCUAAUUUCCCAUGUCCAAGCCUAGAAAUCUCAUUAAAAAAAAUAAUUUUUCUCAUACAUAUGUGAAUGAAACAUGCCGACUGAAAAUAAACCAUAGAAUUCUAUUUGAAAUAUGCUUAAUGGCUUUCCCAAGACUCCAACUUUCUGCAAAAAUAAUUUUAAAUGUGAUUGGAGCCACAAUAAUUGUUACCAUUUAUACCAUAAUAGUUCUCUUCCUGCGAAUUUAUUUCAAUUAUCAAAAUUUUAAUUUCAACAGAUCAUAAAAAUGGAUAACUACCGCGGGAACCUAACUGCAAAGAUAUUUCACUCUCAUUGCCAGUAUUUCUCAGGAUUCAACCCUUUAAAUCUUAUUUUUUAGAGGUUAAGACAUAACCACAAAUUGGUGUACUUAAGGGCCCAGUAACCUUCCCACAAGUCUGUGAACUCCAGCCCUGCCUUCUAAGCAAAUCCACACAUUACCCACCAGCAAACACUUGUUCAGGAAAGCGGGCGAGUAAACCCGGCUGGCAAAGUACGUGUUGCAACUGGAGAUUUGCCAAAGUAAGGUUUGCCGAAUCAAGGUUGCGGUACAUAUCUAGCUGAGCAGACAACACUCGGGAAUCAUAGUAUAAAAACAGUAAAUAAAUCCCUGGGAGUUAGACACCUGCUAUGGGGUGUAUCCUGGGGUAUGUGUGAGAAAAUACAUGUAGUAGAUAUGACAGGAAAAUAGGUUGGAAGUCAGUACAUUAGACAACUGAUGGUUAGAUGUGAAGGAUGGGAUCCAAGACCUAACAGCUUGAUCCUGCAGGUACAAAUAGAUAAUCCACACUAGUGUGUGCAUGAUAUACACGCAUACAUAUACAUAUAUAUACUGUAUAUACAUACUGUCGAUCUGGAGAGACCAUUCCAGACUGACAACCAGAGCACAACUCCAUAGUCUCCCGAGACUGAUGGAUGCCUACUACUACUGGGUAUAUAUUUAUAUACUCCCUUGCCUCCUACCUUAUGAAUUCCCUAUCAGGUGCCAAGGAUUCCCGAUGCAUAUUUGUGAUGCUUUAUAUUCUUGCCCUGUAUCACAAAAAGUUGGCAAUCUGCAGCAUAACUGAUCAAUAAAAUGAGCAUGAAAAAUUUUGACAAUGAAAAUGGAAAAGUUUAAAAAGAUAACAAAUGGAUUAGGAUGAAUUAGGACGAAUGUACACUUUGGAUGACUACCAGAAGUUGAGGUAACGAUAAAGUAAAGAUAAAAUGCAGGUCAGAAAACUGACAAAAUAGUAAUGCUGCUACUGGUAAAAUGCAGGUCAGAAAACUGACAAAAUAGUAAUGCUGUACUGGUAUCGCAUAAAAUAACUUUUGUUGUUUAGAUCAUUGGGGGGGGGGGGGGCAUGUGCACAUUUAGCUAACAUGGUUGGAACACUGCAUUUAAUUGAACAGCCCAAAUAACUGUUGGGAUCACACUAGCAAGCCAAAUAAAAGAAAAACUAAAAGUUAUACGCAAAAUAAAUUACUGAAGAGAUUAAUGAAUAGGGGUAGGAGGAUGUACUUUAAUACUUUAUAAGUUCCCUCUGUAUGCAUUACAAAUAUUCAGAAGGGAGGGUCGUACAUAGAAUACAACAUAUACAUAUGUAUAUAUAACAUUCUUACCAGUUUGGUGUGUUCAGACUUGUGCUCUGAAGCAAUGUUUGCCGGUGCAUGUAGCAGUGUUCAUUUAUGUGUGUGCUGUGGGCACUUUAAGGAAGAUCUGCACCUUACUGUCAGAGCUGCCUUUUUCUGCAAACUUUUGCUCACCGUCUUAUAGAAUAUCUUGAUUUUCAGGAUUGAGAAUCUUUUUUUUUUUCCCCUAUUGUUCCUUCGUCUUUGUGUUCUUGUAAUGGAAUCCUGAAUGAUAACUAUGAGAAAUAUUCUGAACAACAAAGUGCUGUAUAACCAACUGGCAAAGUGUUACUUUUUUGUUACUUUUAUGUAUGCCAUGAGACACAUGCUACCUUUGACAGAAAUUAUUGUUUAUUGUAUACCAAAUGUGUUGUAAAUGUUUUUUCUGAAAGAAAUGUGCAUAAUAAAUUGUACUUUUAAAUAUUAUCCAUUAUAGGUGCACUUGUAUCAAAGGAAAUCAGAAUUUUUCAGCAAGUCUAGUUCCAGAACAAAACUCAAGUGUCUUGAGGCAGCACAGCAUGAUCAUGUCUUUUAAAACCAUAGAAUGAGAAAAUUAGGAGACAUGAGAAGGAUUUGAACCUGCACACACCUUGAACUUCUAAACCACGAUGUGCUACAAAAGUAAUGUAACCUGGGACUCCACCGAAUCCGCUAGGGUUCCCGAGGCAUCCUCCUCAUAGUUCCUACGGAUUUUCUCAUUGAUUCAACGUGAUAAUGUGAAUUCUUUGUAUACUAUAAACUACACUGUGAUGCACAUGGAUUAAAAAACUACUGUGGUAUAUAGAAAAAUUCAAACCUCUUCCAAUGAUAUAAGCAUUCCUUGGUCAGCCCUCUAUCAAGAAAACCAUCUCACUAUAUUGUAUAAUGUAGUUCCAGUUUAAAAAAAAUUAUCGUUGCACAGCAUUUGUGGUAUAAUUUGAUGUGAAAGCUUAAGUUUCUGAUAAUUUCCAACGAAGCUUUUUUUCAUCGCAGAAAGUAUUAUCACAAAUAUUAGUUUGUGACAAAAGUGAUGUGUAAAUAAAUAAAACUUGUAAAGUUUA
rnacentral:misc_RNA from 1 species